rnacentral:sRNA from 1 species
AGUGUGUGUGUGGGGGAGGGGAAAUGUAAACACCGGUGAGCAAUCUCCCUCAGGCCUCUUCCCAGAGCGUCUGUUUCUAGCUCCACUGAGGGACUAUCUGACCAUCUUUCUAAUUGUGCAAGGAAGACUGUGCACUCCACCUGGGGAUUCCCGAAUGAAGAAGGCCAUAUUUAGGACCUGGAGCAAAAGUCAGGCCAAUCAGCCUGAGGCAGAGCAGCCGAAGUGCAGCUCCACUAAGCCCUUGUGGAACAGGAGAAGGGAGCAGAGUUCAGCUGCGUCUCUCUGGUCACUGCUUCCCCCCAACCCAUUAUUUACUGGUUCUUUGAGAAUCCUGUACCAGGUAUUUUGAUCAUAAUCACUGCUCUUCUAACUCCUCAGAGAUCCUGCCCCUCUUCCCUAUGCACCCAACUUUGUAUCCUCUCUCGAAGGCCUCAAGUUUGAGAGUACACAGGAAUCACUCACUGUACUUAAAAGAAGAAAGAAGAGAAAAGACACAAAAUGUAGUGUCGUGACUGUUUUUAAGUGAUUCAUUAUAAACCUUCUGACCAGAUGAAUAGAGAUGGUGCUGAGACAGUGGCCUCUAUGUGGCCAGAGGAGCCUCAGAGGGAUCCCCAGAACAGCCUGAUGGGCACCCACAGAGGACUGCUGCUGCUGGCUGUUGGAUUGGUUGUUCUCUGACUUCCACGUGGUCCAGGUCGACUGGCCAUUUUGGAGGUUUGAAAUAGCUUGUUUUUGACCGAACAAAUAAAUCAUGGCAUUCGGGAUAAUGGACACCUAUAGUAAUGUUGCCUACACCCCAACACAGAUACUGUCUAUGACCUAGGGAACGUGUUGCCUGGUGCUUUUGAAACUGAGUCUCUUUGUCCAAGUGAACAAUGGCAGAGGCCACUGUGACCAGUCCCACACCAGCUGCUGGGCACUCUCUGACCUCUUUAUUUUCCCUAAGAGAUCGUGGGGCAGCCUCAUCGUGGAAACAGGUUAAUCUAACCCACAGCAUUCUGUAAAGGUUAGGAGACAAUAGUAUAUUGAAAUGCUUAUCCACCAUCCCUCCAACAGAGUUUGGGAGAGCACAGUGGAAGCAAUGACAGACUUUUAGAACCCAUUCCUCUGCCAUUUUGUUCACCAAAUUAUUCUUUAAUGCAUAAAUUAAACUGAGUGUUAUAUCAGCAGACACAGCGAUUGUCAUUUCCUUUUGGAGUUUUAAAAAGUACCAUUGUAAACAUAGUUACCUAAAAAACUUGACUUGCUGGCAGGAAAGAAACUCAUCGGUCUUUUAAAAAAGAGUGUUCCUAUGCUGGGGAGAUGGCUCAGUGGUUUUAGCAUUUAUUUCUUGCCAUGCAUGGUUUAAAAGGCACCUACAGAAACCCAUGUAGUAAAGGGCAGAGGCGCGGCUGAGAAAUCCUGGGUUCUGCUUUAAAAGAGGUGCUUUGAGGCUUGUCAUGUUGGCUUUUAUUUUUGCAAUCCCAAAUCUACUCUCUAAUUCUUUGAAGUUAAAAAAAAUGACCAUAACACAUCUAGUGGCUAGUGUGACUUUCCCGCACUGCAGAUUAGAGUGUGCUCGAUACCGUUGGUGACUUUACACUCAGGACUGCCUGUUAUUGCUUUUGGCUGUUACUCAAAUAAUGCUCCUCGCCACGCAGUGACGUGAGUGUUGCAGUGUGUUAGGGAUUUGUAUACAAUUAGACAAAACGCUAGCGAUAAAACUUGGAUUUCACCCCUUUAGUUUUAUUUAAACCUAUUUUGUUUUUGUCUUUUUAUGUUUAACCCUGAGAAUACUCUUCAAUUUCCAAAGUUCAGUUUCCUGACCUCUCUUAAUACCAAGCUGUCCCUGACGUCUCACAAAGCUUGCGGCUUAAUGUGUACAGAUCUUUAUUUGCAGCUUCCUGACAGAAUGGGCUGAAUUCCCCUACUCCAGAGUACACGUGGGCUUCAAGGAGCUAAGUCACUGGUUUCACUUCUGUCUCAGUUUAGGUUUGAUAGCAGAAGCUGGUGUUGACCCUUGCUGACCUGUGCCAAGUAGAUUCUUUUGUUUACACUUUCCCCGAGGAAAGUCAGUCAGGUUUUUGGACUUGGGCAUACUACUCAGUUUCUGGACCACACAGUUCUCAUCUGCAAAUUUGUAGGAACAGUGGUGUUUCUAGUUGUGUUGUUCUCUAGGAUAGUGUGUGCAAAGCAGGGACACUGAAAGGCUUCACAGACAUCCACCUGCUGAGUGGUUUUGUUUGGAACUUUCUUCCCAGAUUGUAGCAAGCCGGCACAAAUCUCUCUCUCUCUCUUUUUUUUUUUCCUUUUCUUUUUUUCGGAGCUGGGGACCGAACCCAGGACCUUGCACUUGCUAGGCAAGCGCUCUACCACUGAGCUAAAUCCCCAACCCCACAAAUCUCUCUUUUGUCAGAGUUCUUGAACCUACCCACAGCACCUAGUCCUACAGUCUGGCUGUCUGCUCCUGCAGAUAUGCAAACAGGUUGUGUGCUCCUGGAUUUGUCUAAGCCCAGAAGUGAGCAGUGGAGUCAUGUGUUAGCUGCUCUUAGUUUUCUCUCUUCCAGUUGUACUUGAAAAAUGUAUUGGCAUUUUAAGUAAUAAGGUGGGUUUUUUCAUCUGCUUCGAACUUGCUUCACUUGUGAGCUGUCGGAGUUGGUGUUGUUUAUUUAACUGCCCAGAAAGAAAUGAGUGUUUGCUGUCAGGAACAUUGCUUCCUGACAGUAGUGUUGCUUGUCUGUCUUAAUACUACUGACAUGAAUGUGUCUUAUCCAGUGCAUUGCCUUGGUUGUCAACUUGGCAACAAGUUGAGGAGAGGAAAUUCAACCGGGGGAGUUCUCACAUCAGGUUAGUGUGUGGGCAUGUCUGUGAGGCAUUUGCUUAUUGGUAAUUGAUAUUGGAGGCCCCAGCCCACGGUGAGUGGUGUCAUCCCUAGGCAGAUAGGCCUAGGGUAUAUAAGAAAGGUAGCGGAGUAAACCAGAGGAAGAGAGCAGCUGGGCAGCAGUCCCCGUGAUCUCUGCUUAGGGUCUUGCCUUGAUGUCCUGUCCUGGCUUGACUCCAUGAUGGACUAUAACCUUUUUAUUCAAGCUGGUUUUGGUCAUGGUUUUAUCAAAGCAACGAAGAGCAGACAGAAGACAUCUUCCAUAGAUUUGAGGCACACCUCCUAGCUUUUAAAGAUUCCCUGUGUCGUGUUAUCACUGUGGAAUUCACUUGCUAUAUGCUAGCAUGGGAACAGCAUGGCAUGCAUGCCGAUCCUGUAGCAGGGCCCGGUAGGUUAUGGAAAACUACCUCAGUACAUUUGUUUUUCUGAUUUGUUGUUUUUGUUGUUUUCUCAGUAUAACCAGCCUGUGUAGCUUGUCCCGUCAGGCAACCUUGAGUAGUGGAUUGCCAGCCCGGGGCUCACAUCUAAGGAGAACAUUAACGCCAUCUGCCUGGCACAGGGCUGGGCUCUGAUCAGCUCCGUCACCCCUUCCAAGAAUUAGGUAGUAUACAUGAGCCUUCUGUGGGAUGAAUAACGUUCAGGGCCAAGUGCGCAGGCAUGUUGACAGAUGGCUGGGUGUAACCUGCUCCUAGGCCUUAUGUGCCAGUGUGUCAAAAGGUCUAGAGAUGCAGGGUUUCAACCUAGAGUCAGAAAUUAAACCGAAGCAAUCAAAACAAAAAGCCAGCACCAGAACCCACAGUGUCCAAGAGCCGUUUGCUGCCUUGCUGUGUGCUGCGGUCAGUUUCAGGCCAUUGGAGCCUCUUGCAGGCAUCUGGAACGUGCCAGGGUUUAAAGAAAGGUGGUCCUCCUGGGUCUGUAGACCUUUUCUUACCCUCAAUCCCCUGCUCUGGGUGCUCAGCAGUGGGACUUGCUCUGAGUGCCUACCAUACAGCCUUUCUUCCUGCCCCCACCCUGGAAGGCUGCGGUUAGGAUUCUGGGACCUUCCCCGCCAGCCAGGCUUUUAUGCAGUUUGCUCAGGCAGAGGCAGUUGUUAAAAUGAGGUUUCUAACUUACGGAACGCUGUCUUUUCUUGGUGAUGGAAAGGGUGCACUUGGCUACAUCAGGGAACAGAUGUUUGGGUGUGGGCACCCUCUGGUGGGCGUCAUCAUGGGAGGCUCCUACAGAACACCAUGGAGCUCAGUCCCCAGCGUGUGCCGGCAGUCCCAGCUGGACACACUGUCACCAGAGUCCUGCAGAAGGCAAAAGGAGAUUCAGUCGUCUUUUAUGUUGUCAUACUAACAGAGUUAGAUCCCCCAGGCUAACUUGGAAAAUACUGAAAACUUGACCUACAUGUUUGAAAGACAGCACCUUAACCGAUAACUGGUAAGGAAUUUGCUUUCCUGCUGAAGAACCAGUGCGCUUCUGAUGCUUCAACCUUGAUACAAAUGCAGUGUAUUGGGAACAAGGGAGGCUCAUGUACUUUCUCGACAGCUUUUUUUUAAAAUUAAUGUGUGCGUGUGCGUGUGUGUGUGUGUGUGUGUGUGUGUGUGUGUGUGUGUGUGUGUGUUCUGCAUAAAUGUCUGUGCACAGUGCCCAAGGAGUCUGGAGAGGGAGUGGAGUCCUCUGAGACUUAAGUGACAGGUGAUUGUUGUUAGACCCAGUAGAUGCUGGGAAUUGAGCCUAGGUUCUCUAGAAGAGCAGCCAGUGAAAAAAAGAGCCUCUGAGCCAUCACUCCCCUGGUCUGCUUGGUAUUUUUAACCCAAGGUUAUAGAAUUAAAUGAAAUCAGUUUGUAAAAAACAGAAGGGUUAACAGUAAAAGGAGAGCGUUUCACUCUUCAGUAUGCAUAGGGCAUAUAUAUGGAUUUCGGCUGUUGGAUUUAGUCUCCACCCCCCAGCUUUCUGCUGUGUAAACUCUGGCAAAUUCCUGCCCUCUCUGUUCUGCUACCUUGCAGGCAGGCAGGACGAUUCAAUGGAGAAGUCUGUUACCAUGUUUAGGAUGCUGCCCCGCACACAGCGCAAGUGCAAUGAGUGUUGAAGAGAUGCUGUUCUGACGAUCUGCUGUCAGUUAACUGGGAAACAAUUCUUGGUUUUCCAGUGAUAGUAUUGGAGGAUCCGAGACAACUGCCGCUCAGGCAUCUGACUGCAAAGUUGUUAUUGAACAAACAAACAAUAGUUUGGAAGGCUGGAAGGCUGAGAGGGUAGUGCCUUACUCUUUCUGGUGCUGACUUGGUGCCUGUUCCCGCAUGUCUCACUUCCCUGAGGCUGGUCCUAUCUGAUGACCAACCCUGGGUCACUUUCAGCAGCUUUACUGGGGAGACACUUACCAGUGUAAUUCCAAAGGCCCUGGAACUGCCCAAGGCGCCGGGUCUCACUGAGGAGGCCCCAGUUGCUGGAAAGGAUCCCUACAGGGGCUGCAGUGCUCACAGCACCCACCCCGCAUUCUUCUGGGGUGUCUGCCUGUGGAACUAUGGCUCUGUGUUACAAGUCCAAGGUUUAUCAGAAAUGUCACAGCUUCAGAUGUGGUCCCAGAGCAUGAGUCAGGGACCCCAGGCUGCAGGUGUAGCGAGGGGCGGGGCCGAGUGCACGAGGUGGCUUUGCUGUGUGAGAUAGAAAGUGCUCAUGGAAUUUGACCCGAGCCACAGGCGGCUGAAAUGUAGGGCCGGUUGCUUCAUGUAUGUGUGUGAGGUAGAGCGAUGAAGAUUUCUUUAUUUUUGCUAUAAUCACUCUUCAUUUGUUUUAGUUUGCCUGUGCAGUAGGGAAGCUAUUUUAGGUCUCUGUCUCUGGAACCAUCCUUGUCUUCAGAAUGAUAAUCCCAGCUUCAGGUCUAAAACAAGAUCUGGAGUGUUUGUUCCACACACACCCAUGGGAGCAGUGUCUCAUCUGUUUGGUGUGUGAAUAGUUCUCCCAGAGCUUGUGUCUCUUUCUAUUUCCUAGGAGACACUCAGCGGCCGUAAUUCCCUGGUUCAGUUAUAGACUGUGUGGGGCUGGCCUGUCCUUGGCAUAAGUCCUCUGGUGCACAUUUGAGUGAUGUCUGCUGUGCUGACCCUUCCCCUUCCUCAGCGUUCCCAGUGCUGUAGUAUACUCGGAGCCCUCGAGUUGUGGGCACUAACCUUAAGAACUGUUUCAGAAAGUGGGUAAAAUUGAUCACUUUCUCAGGUAGUGACUGAGAUCAGCAACUCUUUUCAAUAGCCGUGAUAGGAAAAAAACCUGAGAUCCCUGUUCUCUCUGGAGUUGUUUUAUUAAACUCUGAAGCCUGAGGAAGCUGCACAUGUGUUUAUGCUCUGAGAUGCAUCAUGGGAAGUGUUUCUCACUGGGACUGAGGUCAAGAAAGCACAAAAGCCAACAGGACAGGUGCUACCUCUAACUCUCUGUCACGUUUACUUUCCUGUUGCUCUGAUAAAUUUCAGAGAGAUAAGAAUCCACCAUGGUGGAGAAGCAUGGUGACAGGAGCAGAAAGCUAAGAAAUUGCAUCUCAGUCAUAAGCACGAAGCAGAGAAAGGCAAUGAGACAGGCUGAGGCCGUACACUCUCAAAGCCCAUUUGCCAGUGACAAACGUCCUCAGCAAGGCUGCACCCUAAAUCUCCCUAAACUACACUGCCAGCUGGGGACCAAGUAAACCGGAGCCUAUUGGGACAUCUCAUUCAAGCCACCAGCUGCCUGUCAAGGCUUGUGCUGUUUGUUGGAGGAACACUAACCAGCCUGCCAUUCUCAGGGCUCUCCAGCCUGGUGCUUUAGCGUCUCCCCAGUUUGCCCAGAUGCUCUUUGUGGGUGUCUGUGGAUGAGCUCAGGAAUUUACAUUUCAAUUGGUUGCCUUCUGUGAGUCUGAUGUAGUUGUUUAUAGAGCCACCGUUUAAGAGAUAUUGACCGAUGUAGCACAGGUACCUUACACGUUAGAUUUAUGCCUUGCAGCAUUUCCGUGAGGUCACCCCUUCCUCAAUUUUAUGCCUCCAAAUCCCCUGCUGAUUCUGUCUGGUGAGUUUCCUAAGAGAUGUUGAAGUGAGAAGGCACGGAUGGAAGCCAGGUCAGUCAUGGUUUAAGGCUGCUGCCCUGGUUCCUUCUCCUUGGGUGGCAUAGAAUGGGGAAGUUUCUGAUUGAGGCCUUUCCCUAAUCACACAAAACCAGGAUUGUUAAAAAGUGAGUUGGGGAGAACCUGGGUGGGAAGCCAUUUGUCCCAGGAAGAGAUUUUACUUUGCUGCUGCUUCUGGGGCUGUCUUUGAGAGGUCUUCUGCCAGUGUACCUGGAACCAAGGAAAGUGUCGGUGGCCUGUCUUCACCAGUGUACAUUUCAGUCCGAGCUUCACCCAAACUUUUGGUUUAUAGUUGUGAGGUCCCAUCAUCUGCCUCUGUAUAUCAUGAGAAUCGCUUCCUAAGAGUUCCAGGUCUCGGAGUCUCAGAUCUUUGUCAUUUGGAAAGUAAUACGUGUGGUCUCUUACCUAGACAGAGAUGUAGAAGGAAGUAACCAGAUGUAGGAGAUCUUUAGAGUUCCUUCAGGAAGGUGGACUAGUCAGAAUCCUAUGCUAGGAGCCUCCUGUUCAGAUCAGACUUUACGGGAUAAGAUUUACAUGCGGGCCCAAGGUGUACUUUAAGAACUACUCCCUGAAAGACGUCUGGCUUCCUGCUUUUUUGGUGUCAGUUGCAAUAAAUCUCUUUCUGGUCUCCUGUUCAUUGGGGAAAGACUUGUAGUAGAAAGGGGCAAAGUGACGUCCUUGCUAGCCCAGCCAGCUUUGCCAAUCUUGUUACAGAAAGGACGGGAAAGAUGCCCUCUUUGUAUCAGGCAACCCCUGAAAGGACACAGGCAGGAAGCCAUAGCUAGCAGUUGUGUGCGAGCAUCCUGGAAGCUGGACUAGUGUUAGACUUCAUCGCCCCCAAAAGCUUUCGUUUGAAGGUUGUCAUCUUGGCGGGACAUGUGCAACCCCCACCCCCCUUUAGAUGCGUAACAUUUUAUGCUCUAAUUCUCUAGUUUUAGUCUUAAUCUCAUCCAGAUUAUAGAAUUGCACAUCUCCUUAAUGCGUUUUAUAAGUAUUCAGUAUUAAAGAUUCUAAAACCCCUGACUUGGGCUCACAGGUGACCCAUAUUUGUCCUGUGAAUUUAUUUAUUUUUUUUGAGACUGGGGAUUGAAGUCAGAGCCUUGCGUAUGGCAGGCAAGCACUCCUCAGUGAGGUACGUCCCCCACCCCUGUGAACAUAGUAUUAAUAAGAACAACUGCUCUUGAAGCAUAGCUUGCAACUUUGCUUAUUUACUUGCGUAUUUAUCCGUGGCCGUCUUACAUGGCACAGACUGGCCUCAUCCUCACAAUGCCCCCAUCACAGCCUCCUGAGUCCUGGGACUGAAGCUUUUGCCACCAUGCCCAGCACACUGCUAGAUCAUACCUUUGCGAACUUACAUGUUUAAUUAGAAUGGAUUUCUUUUGUUUUUUCGAAAGCACACACAGGCAGAACCCUGUAUCAUUUCCAGGCUAACUGGACACCAUUCACGUUAAUCAGACUCUGUUGUGUGUCCUUUUUCUAACCUUUAAGCUGCAGGAAGCUCUAAAUUAGAAAGUUGCGAGCCAUUUUAGGACUUUAGGUUACUUGGAAUGUGAUGAGGACGAGCUGCGUGAAGAGACCAGCACACUGAGCCUCUGGUCCUUUGCUGCAGUCAGAAUGAAGUGAGGAAAAGAGUGCUAAAAGCUACACUGAAGGCGACAGUCCACAGUCGCAGUGUGAGUCCCCUCAGCGACUCUGAAGGCUAGGGCGUACAUGUGGAGGAUGCUCGUCGGCCUGCUUUCAUGAAUGAUUUGUAACGGGUUUUCCUGGGGUAUUAGUAGACGAUGCCAGGCAAAAACCAGGAAAUGGAGCCUGGUAGAGGGAGAGAGGACUGGCUCACCAGAGAAAUGUGUUUCACUUGACUGCAAGCAUUAUCAUUUUGUAGUGGUUUGGGGGAACCUUCCCCCAGCGGAUCUGGGUAGGCACAGAAGCAGAAAUACUCGUCACAGAAGAGUCAUCUAGAACUGGGGUACAGGGCAUGCUGCUAGCCUUUAAAGGAACAAAAGGAAAAACAAAAGUCCUUUGAUUGACAGGACCUCUGAGUGACAGCCAAGUGCUUCACGUUCUGCACUACUGUGCCCCUCAGCCCAGGACACCUGACUGGAAGGAAAUGAAGGCACCGAGGGUCAGCAGGUGACUGGGGAAGCAGCCAGCAGUGCAGAAGCACACAGGGGAGGUGGGCAUGAUGCAGAGAAGCAGACUGGAGACGAUGGUGGUCUCUGAUUCAUGCUGCCGCAGCUCUGGGACGAGGACACAUACUCUCACAGUUGUAUUCUGAAAGAAAGGACCUCUAGAAUCUCGAAACUGAGUAGAGCUGUGCAUUCAGCUUCCUGUCACCAUCAGGACUCACCCAAAAAGGGCAAGAGGGUAAUUUCACUUACAGAGUCUCAAGUUAGUAACCCAAAAAUCUGAAUACCAUUUCAGGCCAGACAUAUGGGAGGGUUUAUCAAAGUGGUUUUCUUUUGUGUAAAAGUAAAGUAUUGCUUUAUUUAAAAUUGCAUGCUUAUAGGAAAGUAGAAGACAUAGAAUUUCUAAUCACAGCAUUACAGUUUAUCAUUGGCCCUGGAACUUGCAGUAACCAGUCCUGAUUGCCGGUGGCUUUGUAGUCCAGCAUUCUGCACUGCUGACCUCACCAGGACACUGUGGAGCUCUGGAUGGCAGAAGGGAGGGGGAAGGUGUUGGCUGCAGCUUUGCUCCUCCACUCAAGAGGUAGAGCGCACCAUCCUUAUUGGCAAAGCUGCUGUGGCCUGACAGAAGAGUCUACUUGUGACUUUGGAAUAGGAGUAGAGGCUUAGUAGUGGGAUAGCUUUAGGGAAAACAUGCAGAAACAGGAAAAUUGCACUAUUUUAUAGCCCAGCUCGACAACCAGGUGGUUUUGUCCCAAACUUCUCAGUCCAUGAUAUAUUUAGGGAUUUUGACUCUUCUCUCUUUAAAGCUUUCAGGAAGUGUAUGGAUGCCAGCAGCUCAUACUGUGUCAUAAAUAUUAGGGCACUGUCUCUGAAGUCAUCCCCUGCAAGGUUAAAGUGAGAUAUUGCCCACUGGUCCCCGAGUGAGGAGAAAGCCAAGGAUAAACACACUGAUGGUAAGGGAAGGGGCGCCUGCACUGGUGCACGUGUGUGAGGGCUGCCUUAUACGGACCAUAGCUAUGGAGAUUUGGCCAAUGACCCGGCCUAUUAUUAUUUGGUGCCGUCAGCUGAGGAGAAAGGCAGUUUGUCCUCUCAGGACCAUAACCCUCUAAACUGUAGAAGUGGCAAAAAAGAUGUUUCUGUGUGGAAGGAAGACCUGUGUGUAAGGGUUCACCCACAGCCAAUAGGGAUGACCUGAAGCCUCAGCCAGGAGUGACACUGCAGCCAUCUGAUGGAGUCACAUUAGGGGGUUUAAGUCAUGUGGUGGAGAUUUGUACUUCCAAGUGGGCUAGAUAGGAAAUUGAAGAAGCAGCAUUCACUUGCCUUCAGCCACAAGGGGCUGGAUGACAAGUUGGAAGGAAGUUCGUUUCUUGUAGAGAGGACGGUUUGACCUAGCAGAGUCAGAGUCCAGCUUUGCUCCUAGCAUACUUAACCACAUCUGAAGUUCACAGCGAGUGCACUGUCUCUAAUAGUUAACAUGUAUUCUCUCAUGGAGGCCUCUCACUGGUGCCUGGGCUCUCCUUUGUGGGCCAGCAAGCAGGCCCAUGCAGGUUUCCUAAUGAAGGAAGCCAAACCUCCAGUGUGGUAAAAAGGGGGAAGGGGUGUAUGCAUGGUUUUGUUUUUGUUUUUGCUACUGCCUGUGGAGGUUUCAUGAGGGGGGUUGUGUUUUAUGUCACAGGGCUGCAUUUUGCUCCUAGAGCUUUGGGUCUGGUCUGUUUUGUGGGGUAUGUCAGGACAGUCCUUGAUGGCUGUCACAACAGGAAAACCACCGACAUGUUGAGACCUUCUCCUGCUAGUUCUCCCUGAUGUCUCAGCUGGAGUGCUGAGCAUAAGCUAUUUCUGAAGCCUAGAAAACGCUCUGCAGCUCUGACCAUGUGAGGCUGUGACUGACCAAAGUGUGUCAGGUGUUUCAGGGGACAGGCAGCUGGGGAAUGUCAAAGAAGGAGAUGUGCGGCAUAACUGCAGCUGCUUGGGAGGUGUCCACGAGCCCCAGGACCAGAAUGAGCCCUCUCAGCCCUUCUGAGAGUCCCCGGUGUGCCGAGCUGUAUCAGGAGACCACAUGUGAACUGGAACAGCAGUCCUUCAAGGCCAAGUCUUGAUAUCCUCAUGUACGAUGCUGUGAUGUAGGCCGGAGGAAAGGGUGGCGACUGCAGGGCUGUAGUGCUCCAUUCUGCGCUUCAGCAGUUCCUGGAAGAAGACGUGGACAAUGCCUCUGCCUCUAUUCCUUUCGCUGAAGUGAGUAUGCUCCCUCCCCGUACUGUCCCCUCCUCCUUGGUGAAUAUCUUGCUUCCAUGUUAGGCCUUCCUGCACAGGAAGGGGUCUGUGGCUUCUGUGCUGGACUCUCAGCUCCACCUUGGUUGCGUUUGGGGUAUUUAUUACUUCAGGUGUUUCUGCUCUCCUGAAUGCCAGUCAGCCUUCAUGAGGCAGAAGAUGUCCAUCCUUGUUGGCUGGCGUAAAAUGCAGUAGGCGGGGAAGAAAUGGCUGCUGAGGGAAUAAAUGGGUGCCGUCAUGUAGCAGGUGCACAGAGUAGUUCAGAGGUGUUCUAAGACAGUGUUUAUCCUUCCAGCCAUAGAUCAAGUAGAGGAAAAAUGGUUGUGAUUUUCAGUGUAACUGUUUAGUUAAUAUAAACAUCUAAGAAAUGGUAUAAAUUGUAAAAGUUCACACUAUCAAUAAAUUUAAAGGGUGAAAAAUUUAAACAUGAAUUUUUGUUUAUUUUUAAAAAAAAAUAUCUGAAAGGGCCCAUUAGAGUAGGGAACUAACUGGACACGAGGAGCCAUCUUUAGGAACGGGUCACAACUGAACAAGCCUGGCUGGAGGUUUAUGAAGGUGGGGGCAUACUCCGUGCUCUUGAGUUAGACGAUUAGUCUUGAAAAUCUAUUCAGUGCAGUAAAUGGAGGAGAGCACUGUGAAAACUGUUUCAGAGCUCGGUGUGGUGGCACACACCAUUAAUCCUAGCAUCUGGGAGGAAGAGGCAGGUGGAUGCCUGUCAAUUCAGGGCCAGUCUGGACUAUGGAGGGGGUUUCCUGGAGAGCCAGAGGUACAAACCAGAAAGGCACCUCUUCAAAACAAACCAACAAAACCAAAACAAAACUGUUUCAGUUUGGAGUGUUUAAAGUGGAACAUUGUAUGCUUCAGAGUUUGCACACUUUGCUACAAAAGGCACUUAGCCCAUUUCGUAGAAACAGUCACGAGGAGGGCUAAGGGGCAUGCAUGGCGGCUGGAUUCCCGGCUGUGCAGAGUGGGUCUUGUAAAGACAAAGUAACCCGCAUAGUCAUCUCUACUCCAUUCCCAGUCUGCAUGGAGCACAUUCUGCUUACUCGUAAUAGUAAGGCUAAUGUGUUUAAGACACCACAGAAAUUUGAAUAUUUUGAUUUAACGCUAUAAAAAAGGCUGUAAGUUGGAGGCGCAUUUGUUCUCUUUGAGAAAAACAGUGAUCUGGUUUCCUUAAUUGAUUGAUUAAUAAAAUGACAUCCAUAUAAAAUCAAAUCAAAGCAGGGCGUUAUUCUUCCUCCAGUAUCAUAUUAAAAUGUACCCUUAAGAAUAUUAGAGUGCAUCUUGAAGGCACAUAUUAAGAAGUACCUUUUGAUUUCAGUAAGACAUUUCAAGUACUCUUUUCGAGACAGAGUCUCAGUAACUGGAUCAGCCUGGGGCAUACAAUCCUCUUGCCUCAGCAUCCUUAGUAUUGGGAUUACAACCAUGUACUUACCAUCUGGCUAAGGCUUUCCAGGUAACUCUGAUCACUUAAAAGACUAUUUUAAGCAUCCUGGGUAUUGUUUAAAAUACUUACACAAAUUAGCAAAUUCUAAAAGUAAAACUGAUCAGCUCUCAAACAAAUUUAGGCUCCAGGUUAGUACAGAACAGUUAGAGAAUGGCGUCUGGCUGUUCUUCCCACUGGGUCCUCUCAGUAGAUCACUGGGC